UACGAAGGGGGCUAGCGUUGCUCGGAAUCACUGGGCGUAAAGCGCACGUAGGCGGCUUCUUAAGUCAGGGGUGAAAUCCUGGAGCUCAACUCCAGAACUGCCUUUGAUAUUGAGGAGCUUGAGUCCGGGAGAGGUGAGUGGAACUGCGAGUGUAGAGGUGAAAUUCGUAGAUAUUCGCAAGAACACCAGUGGCGAAGGCGGCUACCUGGUCCUAUACUGACGCUGAGAUACGAAAGCGUGGGGAGCGAACAGGA
rnacentral:rRNA from 1 species